AUGGAGAUUGACGGAGCAGCAGCCGCAGUGGGACCAUGGAUUAGCUUCUUGUGGAUGCAGAAUCCGUACCGCUGGAGGCUUGGUCGUGGAGGCUCCUCCCAGGAACUCUACCUCCGGCGGCGGCGCCCACUGGGAUUUAUCAGCUCACCCGGCUUCCACCUUCCUCGCCUUACAGCCAGCGCUGCCGAUGCCCCUGCCCCAGCCGUGGGACGCAGACGGAGGAUCAUGCUCCUGCUGCUGAUGCGGAUGCUGCUCUCGUCGACCUCGCACAGGGUGGCAAAUCCGCCGUGCACGCUGCCCAGCUCGAUGCUGAAGCUAUGGGUUCGGCUCCCCCUUCGACCUUGCCACGGACCGACGGACGGCGUCCACGCUGUGCCCGCCGCUCAUGUUGUGGACGCCCUUGAUGAUUAUGGCGCCGACGCGGGCGCCCGACUAUGCUCAGGUUCUUGCCGACCGCCUCGCAACUUGGAUGUGAACAUCGAGUUCACUUUCACCGAUGAAAUCCAAAACAAAAUGCCCUUGCAAGGUCAGUACUACUUUUGCUUUAACUGA
rnacentral:rRNA from 1 species